GACGAACGCUGGCGGCGUGCUUAACACAUGCAAGUCGAACGGAAAGGCCCUGCUUGCAGGGUACUCGAGUGGCGAACGGGUGAGUAACACGUGGGUGAUCUGCCCUGCACUUCGGGAUAAGCCUGGGAAACUGGGUCUAAUACCGGAUAUGACCUUCCAUGUAGUGUGGGGGGUGGAAAGAUUUAUCGGUGUGGGAUGAGCCCGCGGCCUAUCAGCUUGUUGGUGGGGUAAUGGCCUACCAAGGCGUCGACGGGUAGCCGGCCUGAGAGGGUGGACGGCCACAUUGGGACUGAGAUACGGCCCAGACUCCUACGGGAGGCAGCAGUGGGGAAUAUUGCACAAUGGGCGGAAGCCUUAUGCAGCGACGCCGCGUGGGGGAUGACGGCCCUCGGGUUGUAAACCUCUUUCGACAGGGACGAAGCUUCGGUGACGGUACCUGUAUAAGAAGCACCGGCUAACUACGUG
rnacentral:rRNA from 1 species